AGCAGCCGCGGUAAUUCCAGCUCCAAUAGCGUAUAUUAAAGUUGUUGCAGUUAAAAAGCUCGUAGUUGAACUUCGGGGUUUACCCAUUGGUCAGGCUUAAUUGUCUGUACUGGUGAGAUGAAUCUCUACCUUCUGAGGAACUUUCAUGCCAUUUAGUUGGUGUGAUUGGAAAUCAGGACUGUUACUUUGAAAAAAUUAGAGUGUUUAAAGCAGGCUAACGUCUGAAUACAUUAGCAUGGAAUAAUGAAAUAGGACGGAUUGGUUCUAUUUCGUUGGUUUCUAGGAUCACCGUAAUGAUUAAUAGGGAUAGUUGGGGGCAUUAGUAUUCAAUUGUCAGAGGUAAAAUUCUUGGAUUUAUUGAAGACUAACUAUUGCGAAAGCAUUUGCCAAGGAUGUUUUCAUUAAUCAAGAACGAAAGUUAGGGGAUCGAAGACGAUCAGAUACCGUCGUAGUCUUAACCAUAAACUAUAGCCGACUAGGGAUCGGACGAAGUUAAUUUUAUAAUGACGCGUUCGGCACC
rnacentral:rRNA from 1 species